GNAGAACCUCUCGUUUAGAUUGAAGGAGCUUGCUCCUGAUUGAUAAACAUUUGAGUGAGUGGCGGACGGGUGAGUAACACGUGGGUAACCUGCCCUAAAGUGGGGGAUAACAUUUGGAAACAGAUGCUAAUACCGCAUAAAACCUAACACCGCAUGGUGUAGGGUUGAAAGAUGGUUUCGGCUAUCACUUUAGGAUGGACCCGCGGUGCAUUAGUUAGUUGGUGAGGUAAAGGCUCACCAAGACCGUGAUGCAUAGCCGACCUGAGAGGGUAAUCGGCCACACUGGGACUGAGACACGGCCCAGACUCCUACGGGAGGCAGCAGUAGGGAAUCUUCCACAAUGGACGAAAGUCUGAUGGAGCAACGCCGCGUGAGUGAAGAAGGUUUUCGGAUCGUAAAACUCUGUUGUUGGAGAAGAAUGUAUCUGAUAGUAACUGAUCAGGUAGUGACGGUAUCCAACCAGAAAGCCACGGCUAACUACGUGCCAGCAGCCGCGGUAAUACGUAGGUGGCAAGCGUUGUCCGGAUUUAUUGGCGUAAAGCGAGCGCAGGCGGUUUCUUAAGUCUGAUGUGAAAGCCUUCGGCUCAACCGAAGAAGUGCAUCGGAAACUGGGAAACUUGAGUGCAGAAGAGGACAGUGGAACUCCAUGUGUAGCGGUGAAAUGCCGUAGAUAA
rnacentral:rRNA from 1 species